GGCACACAUGACUGCACAGAGUCCGAGGAUUGAACUCUGGCCGCUCUGGACAUUGACCCCUGAGAAAGCCAACCAUGCUAGAUUGGACACUUCCAAGGAGCCUUUAAAGUUGGGGAGCUUAAGUAUCUUUCUAGGUGACCUGGGGGCUUACGGUGAGAGGGACAGUUGAUUGACUUUACAAUGGUAAGAAAGGAAAAUGAGGAGUUCCAGACAGGAAGAACAGUGAGGGGCUGAUGCUUUUCAAAGGAUGCAAAAGGGAAAAACCUAGCCCAGGGUUGGACCACUUAGGUAGAGGACUUUAGCCCAAGGCGAGAAACCCUUGGCACCAGAGAUACUUCACCUCUGAUGAGAUUAGCUAUUGCCACCCAAACUACCAGGAUGUCUAUUGUUAGCCUGAGACCUGGGAAGUAGGACCUUCCCUCAGGGGGAAAACUCUCCCGUGACCAGGUCAAACCUGGGGUUUCUACCUCCCAACUCAAUAAACUGGGGAUCACCAAAUCCCUCCAAGCUACAAGUUUGGGGACUUCCAGAUUCCACGUUGAUAGUGUUCAGGAUCAGAUACCUGCUCUAGAACAGAAGUGUUUGUCCCCAAUGCAGGAACUUGCUAACCUUCCUAAGGCAGAUCAGAGCACUGCGGGCUCAGCGCUGGCUUCCUCUGCAGCUCCAGUCUGGGCAAUCUAGACCUUGCCAGGGUUCAAGGUUUGUGCCUUUUCAGCUCCACAUUCUUCCAUGGACAGGGACCCCCAUGUCCAGCUCCUUACUUGUGAAGCAGGGGGAAUACACUCAAUGGGGCUCUGAGGAUGCCUGGCGCUCUCCAAGGUCUCAUCUUCCCUGAGCUGCCUUUCUGCAGACUGAGAGAGAAGGUCUGAAUGAGUACUAUGCUCUGCAAAUCUGAGACUGUCACCCCAAGCAGAAUACUUGGAAAACUUCUAAUCCCUCUUGUGAGAUUCCUACAGAUACUUCCCUUCUUCAAAGGCCUGUCAGGCUAAACAUUCCAAGUUCUUUAAGGGGCUCCUUGCCAGCACAAGACAGUCACCAGAUCCAGCAGAGCCAAGAAUGUACUAAAAAGCACUUGUCAGCAGCUGUUCCCAGCACUCCUCCCCAGCUCGGCUCAGUGUUUUCUGUUUCAAGAAAGGAGAAGGGCGAACGACUCCGGCUGGAGUGGGUGCUUCAAGUUCUUGGUCAUGAACCCGCUGCUAAUGAUGGGAUCCCCGACUGGAGCUAGAAAGGCUCUUGGAAGUCACCUGAUUUGACUCAUUUUCCAGACAAGAAGCCCAAGGGAUGGACUCGCCUGGCCAGGGCGGCCCUAUCACCCUGAUGGUCCGUGUCACAUCGCAUAUGGGCACAUCAUUAACCAUGUUCUCUCUAACUACUCAGCUUUGAUGAAUACCAAGUUGCUGCCACAAUGGAGUCCUUGCAAUCUCUCCUCCAGGGCAGGCCGUGUUCGGGCUUUUGGUCUUUGUACCCCCCACAUCUACGGGCACACAGCAGAUGCUUCAUAAGUUUUUGUCUAAUUAAAUUCAAAUAAAAAUUCAUGAGGGCUGAUUUGUACCUUUAAG
rnacentral:lncRNA from 1 species